UACAGAGGUCUCGAGCGUUAGGCGGAAUCACUGGGCUUGAAGCGUGUGUAGGUGGAUGCCUAAGUACCUUGUGAAAUCCCACGGCUUAACCGUGGAACUGCUUGGUAUACUGGGUGUCUUGAGUCACUCAGGGGCGAGCGGAACAAAUGGUGGAGCGGUGAAAUGCGUAGAUAUCAUUUGGAACGCCAAUGGUGAAAACAGCUCGCUGGGGGUGCACUGACACUGAGACACGAAAGCCAGGGGAGCGAACGGG
rnacentral:rRNA from 1 species